rnacentral:snoRNA from 1 species
AAGUGUUCAACUUGAACAAUUUGUGGUUCUACUAGGAUGCAAAAUAAAAAGCCCCACACUUUCUGCCUGUCUUUGUGGCAGUCUGGAUUGAAUUAGGGAGUAUGUUU